rnacentral:rRNA from 1 species
AUUGAACGCUGGCGGCAGGCCUAACACAUGCAAGUCGAACGAGUGGCGGACGGGUGAGUAUAGUCUGUGAAACCGCCCGAUGGAGGGGGAUAACUCCUUUAAACGGUAGUUAUUACCCCACACCAUCAGAUGUGUCCAGAUGGGAUUAGCUAGUUGGUGGGGUAACGGCUCACCAAGGCGACGAUCCCUAGCUGGUCUGAGAGGAUGACCAGCCACACUGGAACUGAGACACGGUCCAGACUCCUACGGGAGGCAGCAGUGGGGAAUAUUGCACAAUGGGGGAAAGCCUGAUACAGCCAUGCCGCGUGUGUGAAGAAGGCCUUCGGGUUGUAAAGUACUUUCAGCGAGGAGGCGUUACCCGCAGAAGAAGCACCGGCUAACUCCGUGCCAGCAGCCGCGGUAAUAC